rnacentral:rRNA from 1 species
AUUGAACGCUGGCGGCAUGCCUUACACAUGCAAGUCGAACGGCAGCACGGACUUCGGUCUGGUGGCGAGUGGCGAACGGGUGAGUAAUGUAUCGGAACGUACCUUUCAGUGGGGGAUAACGUAGCGAAAGUUACGCUAAUACCGCAUAUUCUGUGAGCAGGAAAGCAGGGGAUCGCAAGACCUUGCGCUGAUUGAGCGGCCGAUAUCAGAUUAGCUAGUUGGUGGGGUAAAGGCCUACCAAGGCUACGAUCUGUAGCGGGUCUGAGAGGAUGAUCCGCCACACUGGAACUGAGACACGGUCCAGACUCCUACGGGAGGCAGCAGUGGGGAAUUUUGGACAAUGGGGGCAACCCUGAUCCAGCCAUGCCGCGUGAGUGAAGAAGGCCUCGGUUGUAAG